AUUGAACGCUGGCGGCAGGCCUAACACAUGCAAGUCGAGCGGAGCGGCGGACGGGUGCGGAUUGCCUAGGAAUCUGCCUGUUAGUGGUGGAUGACGAUCGGAAACGGGCGCUAAUACUGCAUACUAUUAGAUGAGCCUAGGUCGGAUUGGCUAGUUGGUGGGGUAAAGGCCAACCAAGGCGACGAUCCGUAUCUGGUCUGAGAGGAUGAGCAGUCACACUGGAACUGAGACACGGUCCAGACUCCUACGGGAGGCAGCAGUGGGGAAUAUUGCACAAUGGGCGAAAGCCUGAUCCAGCCAUGCCGCGUGUAUGAAGAAGGUCUUCGGAUUGUAAAGUACUUUAAGUUGGGAGGCGUUACCAGCAGAAUAAGCACCGGCUAACUUCGUGCCAGCAGCCGCGGUAAUUC
rnacentral:rRNA from 1 species